rnacentral:rRNA from 1 species
UAGGGAAUCUUCGGCAAUGGACGGAAGUCUGACCGAGCAACGCCGCGUGAGUGAAGAAGGUUUUCGGAUCGUAAAGCUCUGUUGUAAGAGAAGAACGAGUGUGAGAGUGGAAAGUUCACACUGUGACGGUAUCUUACCAGAAAGGGACGGCUAACUACGUGCCAGCAGCCGCGGUAAUACGUAGGUCCCGAGCGUUGUCCGGAUUUAUUGGGCGUAAAGCGAGCGCAGGCGGUUAGAUAAGUCUGAAGUCAAAGGCUGUGGCUUAACCAUAGUACGCUUUGGAAACUGUUUAACUUGAGUGCAAGAGGGGAGAGUGGAAUUCCAUGUGUAGCGGUGAAAUGCGUAGAUAUAUGGAGGAACACCGGUGGCGAAAGCGGCUCUCUGGCUUGUAACUGACGCUGAGGCUCGAAAGCGUGGGGAGCAAACAGGAUUAGAUACCCUGGUAGUCCACGCCGUAAACGAUGAGUGCUAGGUGUUAGACCCUUUCCGGGGUUUAGUGCCGCAGCUAACGCAUUAAGCACUCCGCCUGGGGAGUACGACCGCAAGGUUG